AAAUUGAAAAACCCAUGUAAAUCCCAGUAUCACUUGCCGCCAAUAAAGCCUGUUAUUCAAGGUUAUCAAAAAGGGUUGCAAGGGCCAACGUAAGAUAUUUUUAUUAGCCGUCUGCAGUCUGGACGCGCGUCAGGCCGUUAACCCCCGAGCGUCCGCCGGCUCGAUCCACCCUCCCUUGCCAUUCUUUUGUCGUGCGCGUUCAUGCCUCCUUGCGAUUGGUUGAAAAUGACGUAGGGCAUAAAGAAAUGGCUAAGCAAACACAGUGCGUAAUAGAUAUCGGCGCGAGGAAGUCUUAAAGAUGGUCGAACGGUGGCAGUAAUGGGAUUUGGCAUCUGAAGCAAGAAUAGCAGGUGACGAGGAGAUCAGAACGACGCGUGCAGUACAUAAGCAACGUCCAGCAUCAGUAACAGGAGCAAUAGCGUCUCUCUAAUCUUAUUCCAGAAAUAAUAUCAAAGCCAAGUGGCAUUGUGCUCGUAUCUCGGUAUUACUGUAUACACGUCUCCUCUCCCUCUUAAGCACGCCAUCUCUUACCGUCUCGUCACCCUCUUAAAACCUUCUUUCCUCUCCUCCCGCUCCCCUCGCCCCUCCCCCCUUCUUCCCCUCCUCUUCUUCAUCCUCGUCUUCUUCCUUUUCUUCUCCCGUGCAUCUACGAGCAGUCGAGAGCAGACGAUUGGUCGCGUGGGUGAACGUUUUACUUGCCGUUUCUGAAGUGGUGGUGGUGGUGGUGGUGGUGGUGGUGGGCUCCCAGGGAAUCCGUGUGGACGACGUAGGUACGGAACGACGAACAGGGAUGCACCGACCUUGGAGGGAUUUUUGCGUCUACCGCUGAGAGUCACUUGCCGCCGACGGACUCGAAGCCUCGCGAGGGGACUCUGCCUCUACGAUCUAGUUGAUCGAAUCGAGGCGUGGGUGACCCGGUGACCUCACCGGCAAAGAGAGAGUACCAGAGUGGCAGCCGGUGAAACUCCUGGGAGCCAACCUCAUCUUCAUCCUAGGAAGAGAAUGGAUCGCUCCUCUGCUUAGGUCCAUUUCUAUUAAGUAUUUCGAGGGCAACUAGAGAGUCUCGACCUAUGGAAUUUCCAAGCACGACUCGUCGUUAUCGUCAUUCGAUUUCCUUUGCCGACCUCGAUCAGCGGGAAUCGGUUAAACGAAACCAGUAAACGUGAAAGAGGCUCUGUAUGUACGUGGGAACAAAAAAUAAAGUCGUGACGUGUAUUCAUGAAAAUUUCAAAAAAAUAUAAUUAUAAAUUAAUUUUAUUUUAUAUAUAUAUAUAUAUGUAUAUGGAUGUAAAAGGAAUGAUUCGACACGACACCAAAUCAUUCUUAUCAUUAGAAUUUUUAUAUCAAGAGCCAAAUCUUUCCAAGACGCGUGAUAAAGAUUCGACCUGGUCUCAUGCAAAAUUGAUAACAACUGUAAUACAUACACCGUAAGCUCGUAUGCGUUUAUAAGACUGGUUACAGCCUUGAAGAUUCUCGACGCGUGAUAAUUCAUCGAAUCAGACUCACGCGUCGCCGAUUAACCUGGAAUUAACGAAGACGUCUCAGGUGCGUUUUAAUUUAAAUUUUUCGAUAACAUUGCUCUCGAUAGUAACGGGUACCGAAUUCAUCGACGCAGAUCAUAAAGGUGCAUAAAAACGCCAGUACAAAUUUUCCAUUUGAUCUCUGUGCCUGGAAACUGUUACGUUCGUUUCGGCAUGCUAGCUAAAUCAAUUUAUAUAAGUACACUCAAAGCAGUUAAGCCUAAUCGUUUAUAACCCAUUAGCUAGAUAUAAUUUUUUAAACGCACGAUUACCCUGAAUCACAUAAAAAUCCAUUCCGAUUGAAAUAAUACGUCAGUUUCGAUCAUAUCUAUGUAUACCAGUCAAAGUUAGCACUUAUAUACAGUUAUACACACACCACAGGGCUAAUUGAUUUUUAUUAAGUCUCUUCGUAGGUGUCUGUGCACGUAAUAGGCCAAGGGUCAAAAGACUGUAAUAGUAAAUGCAAGAAAAGAAUUUCCAAGAGAUUUCUUCUAUAGUUUAACCAUAGAGACGGUUUCGAAAGACGGUUGGAUCGAAUUGCGACAUCCCGCUAGGAACGACAAGCCCGAAAAACCUGAAGUGCAUUCUCAUAGUACCAGCAGCGCCGCCACCCGUGCCUAGGCUGAACGAGAGAGUCGGAACUAGCAGUCGCAACCUACAUAUUCUUUCGGCGCUUGCAUAACCUACAAGCACGAGGGCAACGGACUCACGGAAGCCAACCGUUGAACUGAGUGAACCAAUCGAGCCAACGAAACGAACAGCGUCUAAUCGGUCGAACUGCCGUGCAUAGAGGAACUUGUGAAAGCGUGAGAGCACGUGUCGCCCCCUGUGCGACGCUUUGUAUUGACUUCAAAGAUUUCACGGUAACACGUGUCGAGUUCAUUUUGUCUUCCUCUGUCAAAAUUCAUGGGGCACGUGCUGCGUAUAACCUAUGUUUACGAAUUACGCGUAAAUUUCGUUCCUAUGCGUCGAGACCUACGAGAGAAUAUCUGUGAAGAAGAAUUGAGGUUAUGGACUCGCCGGGAUAAGAAUAGAUAGUCAAUGAGACUUGAACGUUUUUAUAGGGAAUAUUUAUAAGAGUUUUUGGUUAAUUGUAAAUUUUCAACGAUUUUUAGUCACGGUUUAUAAAGUGCAGUGUUCGUUAGAAAAUAAUUAAAUCGUAUGUCGAAUAGCGGAGCGGAAACGGUCGAGCGUAACUAUACGUCAUUGGACCCAUAUUUGAGUGGUACGAAAGAGCGGGAAUAUUUGAACUCGUUUGGGAAUUAUUUAUCGAUCGAUACCAGUUGCUGACACUUUUGUAUCCGAAUGGGGAUACGUUCUUAUUUCGAACGAGAAUAACCACUCUCACUGUCCAGCCUUGAGUGUACGACCCGCUUACCGGAGAAAGUAAAGAAAUUACUUCUGCCAUACGGCUUUCGUUAUGCUUCGGGUGUCGACUUUCCAUCUCUUCGAUAUCAGUAAAGGAGAGUAACGAUUCCGAGAAAACUGGAACGAAUGUACGACAAUGAGUCAGGGAAAUACUGGUCCAGACAAAUUGAUGCUGCGUAUAGCUAUAUACAUCGGAGAAACGUGUAGAUGAAAUUUGGCUUGAUUCCUAAUUCUUGAAUUAUAUUAAAUCUACGUUCAUUCUCUU